UCUUUCUUCUUUCUUUCUUUUUCUUUCUUUCUUUCCUUUCUUUCUUUCUAACACAGCAGAUUUUCAGAGCCUCUGGGUGAUACCCAGUGACUAAACAGAUGGGUGGAGAAUAAAUGUCUCUUGUCACAGCUCAGCAAAGUCCCCCCCCCAGGACACUCUGGGUGGCUCACCUCUUUGAAAGGGGGCCUCACCCCUUCUUCAGAAAGAGCUUCAUUCUGGAAUGCAAGCAGCAUGGAGGAGUUGCUCCUGGAAGGGAAUUUCGACAUUCAUCAGACGUAAUUCUUUCCUUAAGUGAAAUAUUUAAACAGAGCUUCAAGGAAUCCAACAAAAGAAAAUGAGUUUUAGGGGAAAUACACACAGACACACACACACACACACACACACACACACCACAUUCUUUCCUCCAAACAUAAGCUGGAAGGAUUUUAUCUGCUCUCAGAGGGAAAACUUGAGAGGUUUAAUUUAAAACUUGGGCGGGCUCAUGGCUUUUCAAUGGGGGUGAUUGUGCCAUAGUCAGAGAAUGAGAUAAUAAGAAAACGUUUUCGAGCCAGUGUUUGGUUUGGCUUCAGAAAUUCAACCCAGCGUUCUUCUGAGAGCUUGCAGGCCUCGGGUGUAGCUGGGCUGGUGUCUCCCCUGGUCUGAGACCAGGUCUGCAAUGACGCUUAUACCGCCCGAGGCGCCCAGGGGACGCAGGGGAGGGCUUGGGCGCCGCCAGCUCGGCCCAGGACGCCCAGGACCCCACCGCCUCGUUACCUGGAACCCUGGCGACUGCGUAAAAUAAGGGCUGAGCAAGGCAGGAGGAUGAUCCGCCAUCAUCUGGAAGCCCCUUGACAGGACAGCAUCUUCCGAUUUGUCAGGGUUCACAACUCUCCUCCUGUCUUCAUCAACCCACUGGAUGGAAAAUCCAAACCAGCCUCCCCGGGGUGCAGGCUGCUCGGUGCUGCCUUCCUGGGAUUCCUCCCCUGUGGGUUUUAUCAGGUGGAAAUGAGCAAAAGGACCGUGCAAACGACGACCUGCUUCUCCCCUUUGCUUUGCCUCUUUAUUCUGCUCCAGGCUCUCUUGGGAAAAUGCUCAUUUCUGUGAGAACGGGCCUUCCCAGAGCCCAAACGCGGGGAGGAGGGAAACCCGGGUCUCCGGAUGUUCUCAAUUCAGAGGCAGCACAUCCCUCCGGGGAACCUGGGUCACCCGCGGCUGGUCCCACCUGCACACCCCCUGCUGUGAACCCCAGCUGAGAAGCCCCUCAGCCCUGCUUGGAUCCCCUGAGCCAGCCUGCCCUCCGGGGCGAUGCCAGCAUCCCCGAGUGAUGACACGACGACGACGACGGAGAGCUACGGCUGCUGCUGCGAGGAUCCUCCACGUGUCAAACCCGCCCCGCCCUCUGAAGCCCACGUGGCAGCAGGAUCACCCCCCCUCCCCCCCACGGAAGGCUCCAGGGCAGGAUUCCCUUGCUCGUCUUUGGCUUCUGCCAGCAAUCCACAGCAUCCUCGGCUGCAUCACUGGCUGUCCUCUCUCUGGGUCCCUGUGCCGUCAUCACACGGUCUUCUUGCAGAUUUGCCAGUCAUUGAUUUCAGAGCCACUCCUAAUUCAGCAGGAUCUCGACUUGAUUUAAUACCAUCCACAGAGACCCUGUUUGCAAAUAAGAUCACGCUCACAGGUCUGGAUGGGCAUGGUUGGGGGGGGGGGUGGAUACUAUUCAGCCCCAUAGACUCCGCCUGGGCCUAUACUGGGUUGUACUUUCUGUGCUCCCCCCCAUCCUCGGAGCAACCUGCGGCCACAGGCACAGCUAACAUUCCCACGGUGCCGAUGAGAGAGUAGGGGCUCAGAGCGGUUCAGUGGCAGGUGUCCGAGGUCACGCAGUUGGAGCAACAGUGAUGCUGUGAUUGGAACUCAGGGCAGCCUGACCCUGGAGCUGUCUGGCUCUGUGGAAACCUCUUGAAUGUCUGGCCCUCCAAGCACUGAACCCAAGAGCAGCCCAAGUGAGAAUCCUCUGGUUCACAAGCUCAUUUCUUUGGGCCACUUGUUUCUAGAGCCUCUUACUAAGCAGUUGGCCCUGACCAGCCCAUGUUGGGGGCACAAGGGAUGAAAAGUUUCUUUGGGCAAAUUUGUGGAGACAGCACAGAGUGGCGGGUGCUAGGAGGGCCUGCUAGGGGCUAUGACAUCUCCUCUGGGGUGAAGCGAUGUCCUGGAACAAGAUAGAGGUGGUGGCUGCACAACCUUGAAUGUGCUAACCUCACGGAAUUGUGCACUUUACCACACUUAAUUUUAUGUGACUUUUACCCAGGAUUUUUUUUCUGUCUUCAUAUUUUUCCUUUAUCUAAAAAUCUCACCACUAGGAGCACCUGGGUGGCUCAGUGGUUGAGCAUCUGCCUUUGGCUCAGGGUGUGAUCCCAGGGUCCUGGGAUU